rnacentral:rRNA from 1 species
UAUGGGGAAUGCCUAGGCUCUCAGAGGCGAAGAAGGACGUGAUAAGCUGCGAAAAGCUACGGGGAUCGGCACACACGAAUUGAUCCGUAGAUAUCCGAAUGGGGCAACCCACUAUGUUGAAGACAUAGUAUCCUUUAAAGGAGGCAAACCUGCUGAACUGAAACAUCUAAGUAGGCAGAGGAGAAGAAAACAAAAGUGAUUCCGCAAGUAGUGGCGAGCGAACGCGGAAUAGCCCAAACCAAUGUUGUUACGGCAAUAUUGGGGUUGUAGGACCACGAUAUUUCUUGCGGAUUGAAUUAGAAUUACCUGGAAAGGUAAACCACAGAGGGUGAUAGUCCCGUAUAAGUAAGAGAAGAUAAGAAUAGUGGUAUCCUGAGUAGGUCGGGGCACGUGAAACCCUGAUUGAAUCAAGCGGGACCAUCCGCUAAGGCUAAAUACUCCUGAGAGACCGAUAGUGAACCAGUACCGUGAGGGAAAGGUGAAAAGAACCGUGAAUAACGGAGUGAAAAAGAACCUGAAACCAUACGCUUACAAGCGGUCGGAGCCCUUAAGUGGGGUGACGGCGUGCCUUUUGCAUAAUGAGCCUACGAGUUACCGUUGCUGGCAAGGAUAAGGACUUCAGGUCUGGAUCCGUAGCGAAAGCGAGUCUUAAUAGGGCGCUUUAGUCAGUAGUGGUAGACGCGAAACCGUGUGAUCUACCCAUGGGCAGGUUGAAGUUUAGGUAACACUAAAUGGAGGACCGAACCGUUUAACGCUGAAAAGUUUUCGGAUGACCUGUGGGUAGGGGUGAAAGGCCAAUCAAACUCGGAAAUAGCUCGUACUCCCCGAAAUGCAUUUAGGUGCAGCGAUAUAUCAGUUACUUAGAGGUAGAGCUACUGAUUGGAUGCGGGGGCUUCACCGCCUACCAAUUCCUGACAAACUCCGAAUGCUAAGUAAUGAUUUAUAUCAGUGAGGGCAUGGGUGCUAAGGUCCAUGUCCGAGAGGGAAAGAACCCAGACCAUCAGCUAAGGUCCCCAAAUGUAUACUAAGUUGAAAAAACGCGGUUUGAUUGCCCAGACAGCUAGGAUGUUGGCUUGGAAGCAGCCAUUCAUUUAAAGAGUGCGUAACAGCUCACUAGUCGAGCGAUCGAGCAUGGAUAAUAAUCGGGCAUAAGUAUACUACCGAAGCUAUGGAUUUACGUUUAAAACGUGAGUGGUAGGGGAGCAUUCUAAUAGGGUUGAAGGUGAUUUGUGAGAAUUGCUGGACUAAUUAGAAAAGAAAAUGUAGGCAUAAGUAACGAUAAGGGGUGCGAGAAACACCCCCGCCGUAAGACUAAGGAUUCCUCAGCUAUGCUAAUCAGCUGAGGGUUAGUCGGGACCUAAGGCACACCCGAAGGGGGACGUCGAUGGCCAACGGGUUAAUAUUCCCGUACUACUUAUAAUUGUGAUGGAGUGACACAGUGAUGAAAGCACCGCCAGCUGACGGAAUAGCUGGUUGAAGCACGUACCUAUAGGUUUGAUAGUAAAAUGCGUCAGACUUGGAGAAAUGCGAUAGUACUCAGCGUCUACGGACAACGAGAUAGUGUGCCUAAGGGCUGUCAAGAAAAGCUUCUAAACUUAGAUUGUAAGUACCCGUACCGUAAACCGACACAGGUAGUCGAGGAGAGUAUCCUAAGGCGCUCGAGAGAUUCAUGGCUAAGGAACUAGGCAAAAUAGACCUGUAACUUCGGGAGAAAGGUCGCCAGCGCAAGCUGGCCGCAGUGAAAAGGUCCAGGCGACUGUUUAUCAAAAACACAGGGCUCUGCAAAAUCGUAAGAUGAAGUAUAGGGCCUGACACCUGCCCGGUGCUGGAAGGUUAAGAGGAGAUGUUAUCGAUGAUUAAUUGUUGAGAAGCAUUGAAUUGAAGCCCCAGUAAACGGCGGCCGUAACUAUAACGGUCCUAAGGUAGCGAAAUUCCUUGUCGGGUAAGUUCCGACCUGCACGAAUGGUGUAACGAUCUGGACACUGUCUCAGCCAUGAGCUCGGUGAAAUUGUAGUAUCGGUGAAGAUGCCGAUUACCCGCAGUGGGACGAAAAGACCCUGUGCACCUUUACUAUAGCUUAGUAUUGUUCUUGGAUAAGUGAUGUGUAGGAUAGGUGGGAGACUGUGAAAUGGCGUCGCUAGGCGUUGUGGAGUCAUUGUUGAAAUACCACCCUUUGCUUAUUUGAGAUCUAACUCCUUAACGGGAGGACAUUGCUUGGUGGGUAGUUUGACUGGGGUGGUCGCCUCCAAAAGAGUAACGGAGGCUUCUAAAGGUUCCCUCAGCACGCUUGGUAACCGUGCGUAGAGUGCAAUGGUAUAAGGAUACUACGUGU